rnacentral:tRNA from 1 species
GGGACAGUGGCACAACGGAUAAUGCGCCUGACUAUGGAUCAGGAGAUUCCCUGUUCGAAUACUGGCUGGCUCG